AUAACCCCUUAACUCACAAGGUUCUGAAUAGUUGGUUUUAGGUUGGGGCGACCACGGAGAAUAACAAAACCUCCACAAUGAAUGGGGUAUUUCCCCUCAUCUAAGAAUUACAACUCCAAGAAUUAGUACACUAACAUAAAUGAUCCAUUUAAAUGAUCAAUGAACCAAGUUACCCUGGGGAUAACAGCGCAAUCCAUUUCAAGAGCUCCUAUCGACAAAU
rnacentral:rRNA from 1 species